rnacentral:rRNA from 1 species
AUAGCCUCUCGAAAGAGAGAUUAAUACCCCAUAGUAUAACUGAAGAGCAUUUUUUGGUUAUUAAAGAUUUAUCGGUUAAAGAUGGGCAUGCGGCUGAUUAGGUAGUUGGUGAGGUAAUGGCUCACCAAGCCAACGAUCAGUAGGGGGUCUGAGAGGAUGUCCCCCCACACUGGUACUGAGACACGGACCAGACUCCUACGGGAGGCAGCAGUAGGGAAUAUUGGACAAUGGGGGCAACCCUGAUCCAGCCAUUCCGCGUGCAGGAAUAAGGCCCUAUGGGUCGUAAACUGCUUUUGUAUGGGAAAAAUCAUCUUACGUGUAGGAUGUUGAUGGUACCAUGAGAAUAAGGAUCGGCCAACUUCGUG